UACCUUCCCUCCGACCUAGCCAU
rnacentral:misc_RNA from 1 species